rfam:Xenopus tropicalis strain Nigerian Chr05_contig_654, whole genome shotgun sequence.
CCUUCGAUAGCUUAGUGGUAGAGCAGGGGACUGGAAAGGUUAGUGGUGGUCCUGACGGCGUUGGUUCGAUUCCCACUCGAGGGU